UACGUAGGGUGCGAGCGUUAAUCGGAAUUACUGGGCGUAAAGCGUGCGCAGGCGGUUCGUUAUGUCCGAUGUGAAAGCCCCGAGCUUAACUUGGGAAUGGCAUUGGAAACUGGCGGGCUGGAGUGCGGCAGAGGGGGGUGGAAUUCCACGUGUAGCAGUGAAAUGCGUAGAGAUGUGGAGGAACACCGAUGGCGAAGGCAGCCCCCUGGGCCGACACUGACGCUCAGGCACGAAAGCGUGGGGAGCAAAAGGG
rnacentral:rRNA from 1 species